rnacentral:rRNA from 1 species
UAGGGAAUCUUCGGCAAUGGACGGAAGUCUGACCGAGCAACGCCGCGUGAGUGAAGAAGGUUUUCGGAUCGUAAAGCUCUGUUGUUAGAGAAGAACGUUGGUAGGAAUGGAAAAUCUACCAAGUGACGGUAACUAACCAGAAAGGGACGGCUAACUACGUGCCAGCAGCCGCGGUAAUACGUAGGUCCCGAGCGUUGUCCGGAUUUAUUGGGCGUAAAGCGAGCGCAGGCGGUUCUUUAAGUCUGAAGUUAAAGGCAGUGGCUUAACCAUUGUACGCUUUGGAAACUGGAGGACUUGAGUGCAGAAGGGGAGAGUGGAAUUCCAUGUGUAACGGUGAAAUGCGUAGAUAUAUGGAGGAACACCGGUGGCGAAAGCGGCUCUCUGGUCUGUAACUGACGCUGAGGCUCGAAAGCGUGGGGAGCAAACAGG